GCUUAGCGUCAUACCGCGUAGAAUAAACCAGUUCUCGUCCGAUCACUGAAGUCAAACUACGACGGGCGGGGUUAGUACUUACAUGGGUGACCGGUUGGGAAUACCUCGUGCGCUAAGCAUUUU
rnacentral:rRNA from 1 species